rnacentral:rRNA from 1 species
ACAAGCGGUGGAGUAUGUGGUUUAAUUCGAUGCAACGCGAAGAACCUUACCUGGUCUUGACAUCCCGGAGACCCUUAGGAAACUAGGGGGUGCUUCCAUCUGGAAGAAUCUGGAGACAGGUGCUGCAUGGCUGUCGUCAGCUCGUGUCGUGAGAUGUUGGGUUAAGUCCCGCAACGAGCGCAACCCUUGCCUUUAGUUGCCAGCAGUUCGGCUGGGCACUCUAAAGGGACUGCCGGUGUUAAACCGGAGGAAGGUGGGGAUGACGUCAAGUCCUCAUGGCCUUUAUGACCAGGGCUACACACGUACUACAAUGGCCGAUACAAAGGGCAGCGACACUGCGAGGUGAAGCCAAUCCCGUAAAAUCGGUCUCAGUCCGGAUCGCAGUCUGCAACUCGACUGCGUGAAGUCGGAAUCGCUAGUAAUCGUGAAUCAGAAUGUCACGGUGAAUACGUUCCCGGGCCUU